CAUGGCCCAGCUGCAGUGAGAGUGCCAAAGAGCCACCACAGCCCAGGCCAUGGGACCAGAGCAUUAAACCCACAAUGCCACCUCAACUAUAAAACCUUUGCCUCUUCUCCAUGUUGCAUUAUACAGCUGUUUCACAAAGAUUGUGCUGCCAACAUUACAUGGAAAAUGUUGGAGAGGAAGGAAAUUAUCCCUUUCAGUUUCUGCCAUUGCAUUUGUCUUCAUUCCCUGAGGCUUUAUGGGCACAAACUACAGUCAAGACAAGAGGGGGAGCAUGCUAUCUGACUUCAGGCAGUGAAACUGAGAUGCCCAUGGAAGGAUAAGAUGUGAAUUAUUACAGAGAGAAGCAAUGCUGAAGCUGCCCAGGUUGAUAUGUAUUUAUACAUGGAUAGCAAAUGUUGUAUGCAGUUUGAGUGACAUAAAUUACAAUUCCUGGCUGGGCUAUUAAAAUCUGUUUUUACAGCAAGUGAACAAAGGGAAAUUAAAGCAGAUUUGCUGAACCUGCAGGACACAGAUAAACAUGGAAGCAGAACUCAGCCAGAAAUCCCAAUGUCUAUGGUGAGAUCUAGCAGAAAAAGUUAAUAAACUGUCAAAAACAUAA